rnacentral:rRNA from 1 species
ACACGACUACAUUAGAUACCCCUGUAGUCCAUGCCGUAAACGAUACUCGCUAGGUGUCGGCCACGGUGCGACCGUUGUCGGUGCCGUAGGGAAGCCGUGAAGCGAGCCACCUGGGAAGUACGGCCGCAAGGCUGAAACUUAAAGGAAUUGGCGGGGGAGCACCACAACGGGUGGAGCUUGCGGUUUAAUUGGAUUCAACGCCGGAAAUCUUACCGGGACCGACAGCAACAUGAAGGCCAGGCUGAAGACUUUGCCGGAUUAGCUG